GUUUUCUAAAACCACCCUUCUAGAACCCUCCACUUCUCCUAUUAAACUGACAUACAGAUUGAGUCAGUAGCCACACAACAAAUAUAUAUUUCCAAUCAUCUGAUUAGGUUUUGGUGAGAGAAUGGUGAGGGCAUUUCAGGGGUCGACUGAAGGCCCGGACGAGGAGGUAGAUGGUGGUCUCUUAUUCAACUUUGUGUUCCCUUAGGGUUCAGAGCAUCGAAUCCAUGAUUUACCAGAUUGAGGAGGAUGGGAACACGUGGACUUGGAGGCAUCUUUCCUCUUUCAAGAAUCGACCCUCAAUCGCAGAGGAAGUAGAAGGGAAAGAUUGCUGAGAGCGCCGUUAAAGAAAAGCAUCAUUCUCCAAUAUGGUGGAUAAGAACUUGCCAGGCCCAAUUCCUGAUGGCUGGGAGAUUAAGACUGAAUACCAGAAGGAUGGAUCUGAAAUCCCGUGUUACUGGUGUCCCAGAAGUGGUCUCCAUUCCAUCACAUAUGAAGAUAUGAUGCGAUAUGUAAAAUAAGCUGAGGAAUACCAGCUUCCGAUCUACUCACCAGAUUUUCAGACCAUGAAAAUUAGAAAGAAAGCUCAUUGGUCCCAAAAGGAGAACUUUGUUGAUCAUGAUUCAUGUAUGAAGGCUUAAAUUCAGUUGGUCUACGGAACCCAAUUGCUAAAUGCAACCAAUUCUAGAAAUGGACGACCUUGUUAGCAAGAAUGUUCAGUAUUGGGAAAGUACUUUGUAUGAUAUGGACUGUCUUCCUCCCAUGUAAUUUUCUUUUUGUCCUCUACGUUAGAUCAGGAUCUGGAAAGAAUUUUGAUCCUCUAUGAAUAUACAUUUUUCACACGAA